AGACCUCGAAGUGUCCGCUGCGACGGACGAAGGUGCUGGAGCAGAACACCAUGAGGCAGAUCAGCAGCUGUAGGAUGACCCCGGUCAGCGACGACGUCCCCUUCACCCAGCCGAUCCCCGGCCUGGUGGUUAGCAGUGUGAAGAAGAGGAUGGCGUAGCCGACGAUCUGAUGCAGCAGGAUGUUCUGGUCCAGAGGAAGGACUCUGACGACCCAGGUGGCCCGGAGCCACGUCAGACAGCGUCGCAGCAUCAACACCUGAAAACACGCAGACACUAGAUAGGAAAACUGAUUCAGAUGAGCUGGAGGCUCACUAAACGUAAACCUAGAUGUGUGUGUUUUGUGGAAAUUCAAUGCAACUGUUCUAUUAGAUACCAGUAAAAUAUACUUUUUGAUAUUAAAAAAA